rnacentral:lncRNA from 1 species
UUUCAACCAAACCUGUUUUCUUAAGGUUCCUGGAGCGGCUUUCACUCCUGCUAUCUGUGCAUGCAUAAACAUGUGAAAUAUACUCCUUGCUCCUGAUGAAUUUCCAUCUAGUGAAGGAAAAGGAUCGCAAGCAAACAGUUUCAGCACGAUGUAGUGAAUAUUUCAUUCAUUUGUUGAGGUACUUAUGUUUGUCCAGUUCAUCGUCAGAAGGAUUUCCAGCUGAUAUUUUGGCUGUGGCGGGAAGAGCCCUGGGACUGGGAAUUCUGGUUCUGGAAAGGAUUCCCUCAUGCUUAUGCAGUUCAGUCUCCUUCAGCUGUAACAUGAAGGGAAUUCCUCCCCAGCCUCCUGUCCACACCAAAGCUGUGAGGAGGCUGGGGUCUUUUCAGGGGUCUCCAGGAGCAGUGAGU